UAGAGAGCAUAGCAACCACCCUGG
rnacentral:piRNA from 1 species